rnacentral:rRNA from 1 species
AACGAACGCUGGCGGCGUGCUUAACACAUGCAAGUCGAACGUGAAAGGCUUCGGCCGAGUAAAGUGGCGCACGGGUGAGUAACGCGUGGGUAAUCUGCCCUUGGGCGGGGGAUAACCUCUCGAAAGGGGGGCUAAUACCGCAUGAGACCACGGCUUCUCGGGGCUGUGGGAAAAGGUGGGUCGCAAGGCCCGCCACCUGAGGAUGAGCCCGCGUACCAUUAGGUUGUUGGUGGGGUAAUGGCCUACCAAGCCGAAGAUGGUUAGCUGGUCUGAGAGGACGAUCAGCCACACUGGGACUGAGACACGGCCCAGACUCCUACGGGAGGCAGCAGUGGGGAAUAUUGCGCAAUGGGGGAAACCCUGACGCAGCAACGCCGCGUGUGUGAAGAAGGCCUUCGGGUCGUAAAGCACUGUUGGGAGGAAACGAAACCUAGCGCGUAUACGCGCAGCUGAGGGUACCGUGCAGAAUAAGCACCGGCUAACUCCGUGCCAGCAGCCGCGGU